rnacentral:rRNA from 1 species
AAAUUGAAGAGUUUGAUCAUGGCUCAGAUUGAACGCUGGCGGCAGGCCUAACACAUGCAAGUCGAACGGUAACAGGAAGCAGCUUGCUGCUUCGCUGACGAGUGGCGGACGGGUGAGUAAUGUCUGGGAAACUGCCUGAUGGAGGGGGAUAACUACUGGAAACGGUAGCUAAUACCGCAUAAUGUCGCAAGACCAAAGAGGGGGACCUUCGGGCCUCUUGCCAUCGGAUGUGCCCAGAUGGGAUUAGCUUGUUGGUGGGGUAACGGCUCACCAAGGCGACGAUCCCUAGCUGGUCUGAGAGGAUGACCAGCCACACUGGAACUGAGACACGGUCCAGACUCCUACGGGAGGCAGCAGUGGGGAAUAUUGCACAAUGGGCGCAAG